rnacentral:rRNA from 1 species
CUCAGAUUGAACGCUGGCGGAAUGCUUUACACNUGCAAGUCGAACGGCAGCACGGGGGCAACCCUGGUGGCGAGUGGCGAACGGGUGAGUAACACAUCGGAACGUGCCCAAUCGUGGGGGAUAACGUAGCGAAAGCUACGCUAAUACCGCAUACGAUCUACGGAUGAAAGCGGGGGAUCGCAAGACCUCGCGCGAAUGGAGCGGCCGAUGGCAGAUUAGGUAGUUGGUGGGGUAAAGGCUCACCAAGCCAACGAUCUGUAGCUGGUCUGAGAGGACGACCAGCCACACUGGGACUGAGACACGGCCCAGACUCCUACGGGAGGCAGCAGUGGGGAAUUUUGGACAAUGGGCGCAAGCCUGAUCCAGCCAUUCCGCGUGCAGGAUGAAGGCCUUCGGGUUGUAAACUGCUUUUGGACGGAACGAAAAGCCAUUUUCUAAUACAAGAUGGUCAUGACGGUACCGUCAGAAUAAGCACCGGCUAACUACGUGCCAGCAGCCGCGGUAAUACGUAGGGUGCAAGCGUUAAUCGGAAUUACUGGGCGUAAAGCGUGCGCAGGCGGUUAUGUAAGACAGUUGU